rnacentral:lncRNA from 10 species
AGUGUGGCAGGACUCCGCAAGAACAGACAAUGGAACUGCGAGGAGAGGUCCCUGAGCGCGAGGGCCGUCUCAGAAAUGCCCAGGGCCGGCCCAGGGAGCUGAGCGUGGCUAGAGCUGAUCCCUGGGGUUCUUCUGCUCGCCCGAAAGCCCCCACUGGAAUCUAGUCAAAGGGCACCUCGCAGCACGCCUGGGUUGCUGCAGCCGCCCCAGGCAGACUUCUUCCCUCCUGCCCCUCUAAUUUAUUCUUCACGGAACAGCCAGCGAGUUCUUUUCAAAACAUCAAUCACAUCAUUUCCUGUGAUGGCUUCCCUCUGCCCUUAGAAUAAAUCCAGCCCCUCAUUGCGGGUAACUCAUCUCCGGCAUGAGCCACUCUUGAUUGUGAAAGGAUGAGCUAUUAAAAACGACACCAGGAGGACAUGCCUGAACUGGGACUGUCCCAGCACCAGGCCCAACUUCUAGCCUGUUCCCACUGCGGCACUUCUGCCUACACCCCCCUUCUUUGCAUGGCUGGCCCAGGUCUCAGCAUGAAUGUCAAUGUCGUCUCUGCAGAGAGACCUUCCCUUGCCAUCCACCUGCAGAGGUCCCUGCUCCUUAAGCAGUUAUACUGCUUUAUUUCCUUCAUAGCUUUUACCACCCUCUGAUUUUACCUUUUUUGUUUGUUUGCUUCUCUUUUGUCUAUUUCCCUCCUUCAAUAAAAGCUUGAGGGCAGAGACUUUCUCGGUUUUGUUUGGCUCUGCUGUAUCCCCAGUACCUGGAAGAGUGUGUGGGACAUAGUUGGUGCUCAGUAACAUUAAAUACAGAAAUGAAUGCACCAAUGGGUGGCAGACCUGAAAGUGAACCAAGUCCUGGGAGGACAGCCUCAGGGACACAUAACAAGGAGAGGGCCAGGGCCUGCGUGGGGGUGUUCCUGUGCAGGAUCUAUGGAUAAGAGCCGCAGGGGCUUUGGGAGGCGGAGUGGGCAGAUCACCUUAGGUCAGGAGUUCGAGACCAGCCUGGCCAACAUGGUGAAACCUCGUCUCUACUAAAAAUACAAAAUUUAGCCAGGCGUGGUGGCGGGCGCCUGUAAUCCCAGCUACUCAGGAGGCUGAGGCAAGAGAAUCACUUGAACCUGGGGGGCAGAGGUUGCAGUCAGCUGAGAUCAUGCCAUUGUACUGCAGCCUGGGCGACAGAGGGAGACUCAGCCUCAAAAACAAACAAACAAACAAACAAACAAACAAAAAAGGCUGCAGGG